AACCAUUUCCUGAUCUUCACCAGUGACCCCUGCUAGAAGGUAUUGGCCUUAAGAACCAAAAAGAGCCCUAAAUAAGAUCACUGUACCAGAGCGGGGGUCUCACUGUGUCCCUGCAAUGAAUAUGGGAUACAGCUGGAGGUGAUGACUCUACCACAAGUCAGCGACAUGGUGGCCACCAUGUCAGGAUCAGAUGACCUGCACUUCAGCAAGAGGCAGAUUCCGGGCUCGGUCUCUGCACUCACCCACCGGACUUUCUGCAGUCAGACGUAUUCACUAAAGAAGUGAGUUUCCUGCUGCAUCAAAGGCAGAUUCCAGGCUUGGUCUCUG